UUGUUGGAGAGUUUGAUCCUGGCUCAGGACGAACGCUGGCGGCGUGCUUAACACAUGCAAGUCGAACGAGGUCCACCGCGUAGCAAUACAAGGGAAGACCUAGUGGCGAACGGGUGCGUAACACGUGAGGAACUUGUCCCGGUCUCUGGGAUAACAGUUGGAAACGACUGCUAAUACCGGAUGACGUCGGAAUCUCGCAUGGGAUACUGACGAAAGGGUUACUGGAUCGGGAGAGCCUCGCGGCCUAUCAGCUUGUUGGUGAGGUAACGGCUCACCAAGGCAUCGACGGGUAGCUGGUCUGAGAGGAUGAUCAGCCACACUGGGACUGAGACACGGCCCAGACUCCUACGGGAGGCAGCAGUGGGGAAUCUUGCGCAAUGGGCGAAAGCCUGACGCAGCAACGCCGCGUGCGGGAAGAAGGCCCUCGGGUUGUAAACCGCUUUCAGCAGGAACGAAAAUGACGGUACUUGCAGAAGAAGGUGCGGCCAACUACGUGCCAGCAGCCGCGGUGA
rnacentral:rRNA from 1 species